UGACCAACCUGCCCCUUGCUCUGGGAUAACCCCCGGGGAAACCGGAGCUAAUACCGGAUACGAGACCGAGCGACAUCGCUCAGUCUGGAAAGUUUUUCGGCAAGGGAUGGGGUCGCGGCCUAUCAGCUUGUUGGUGGGUAAUGGCCCACCAAGGCGACGACGGGUAGCCGGCCUGAGAGGGCGACCGGCCACACUGGGACUGAGACACGGCCCAGACCUCCUACGGGAGGCA
rnacentral:rRNA from 1 species